UACGGGAGGCAGCAGUGGGGAAUUGUUCGCAAUGGGCGCAAGCCUGACGACGCAACGCCGCGUGGAGGACGAAGAUCUUCGGGUCGUAAACUCCUGUCGAGCGGGACGAACACCCAUCCGGUGAAUAUCCGGGAGGGCUGACGGUACCGCUAAAGGAAGCCCCGGCUAACUCCGUGCCAGCAGCCGCGGUAAUA
rnacentral:rRNA from 1 species